GCCUCCUCCAGAGACAUCCCUUAGGUCCUUGCCUACAUGCUGUGGUUUUCCCCAAAGAUUUUACUCACAAAGAUCCUUGUGAUAAAUAGCCAAUAUGGCAGUGUCCUGGACACUGCUAAUGAAGAUCCUAAUCACCUCCUCAAGCUGCAACCUAGCAGCCAGGUAAAGACAGCUGCUGUAAAAGACUACACAGCUCAGGCAGAAGGUGGAGAAGCUUCUAAGAGGAGCCCUACUAAACCAUGAAAAGAAAAGUAGGAAGCAGUGAGGAAGAAAAAGACCAAUCAUUUACUGUUUAACACAGGCACCUUGGCCUGAAACCUAGAGAAGAAGCAUCAGCCUCAGUUUCCAAACUUUCCCUUCAGAAAGGGAAAGAUAACCAUGAGAAAGUGAUGAAAGACUUGUGAGCCCAGGCUGUGAAGAGGACCAAUUCUGGACUUCUGAGAUGAAACCAUCACAAGCCAAACAAGUACCUUUUCCACUAUUCCCAGAUCUCCUCCUGCCAUCACUUUUCUGACAAUUGCUGCUGCUUUCUCUGCGACAGAAUAGGCAGAGGCAACUAGGCGCAU